GAUGAACGCUGGCGGUAUGCUUAACACAUGCAAGUCGUACGAAGAUCUUUGAUCUUAGUGGCGGACGGGUGAGUAACACGUGAGAAUCUGCCCUUAGGAAGAGGGUAACAGCUGGAAACGGUUGCUAAUACUCUAUACGCCGAGAGGUAAAAGGAUUUAUCCACCUUAGGAAGAGCUCGCGUCUGAUUAGCUUGUUGGUAAGGUAAGAGCUUACCAAGGCGACGAUCAGUAUCUGGUUUGAGAGGACGAUCAGACACACUGGAACUGAGACACGGUCCAGACUCCUACGGGAGGCAGCAGUGGGGGAAUUUUCCGCAAUGGGCGAAAGCCUGACGGAGCAAUACCGCGUGAGGGAAGAAUGCCUAUGGGUUGUAAACCUACUUUUUUCAGGGUAGGAAUAAAAUGACGUGUACCUGAAGAAUAAGACAUCGGCUAACUCCGUGCCAGCAGCCGCGGU
rnacentral:rRNA from 1 species